UGCGCAGGCGGCCAAGUGUGUGAGGCGUGAAAGCCCGAUGCUCAACAUCGGAAUUGCACCUCAAACUACAUGGCUAGAGCAUUGGAGAGGGUAGCGGAAUUCACGGUGUAGCAGUGAAAUGCGUAGAUAUCGUGAGGAACACCAGAGGCGAAGGCGGCUACCUGGACAAUUGCUGACGCUCAGGCACGAAAGGCGUGGGGAAGCAAAAG
rnacentral:rRNA from 1 species